AAAUUCUGUCUUCAGAAUCUCAAGUUUCAAAAGAAACAUAACUCUGGAUUUUGGAUGGUCUGACUUCCUUUUCCAGGGAUGUGUCAAGUCCAGUAUUUCAGUUUGAAACACUGAUGUGACAGACUGCCAUAAUGCAAUGUGUUUAAGCACCUCAGUGAUGCAUCAAGUGAAAGGAGUUCCCAAAGAUUCAGUUCACACAUGCACACACACACACAAAAAUGAAGGAUAAACAGUAUGGGAAGCGGAACAUAAAUCUUUUUCACAUAGUUUGGCACAAAUUCAAUUAUAAUUUGUAAAUGUUCAAUCAAUUAGACCACUCAGUUGUUUAACUUAUAACUUUGAAGGCAGAUUAUCUUUUCCAAGGGGAAAGCGUCUCUCAACCAAGACCUUUUAUGUGAACUGCUCCAGAAGGAAAAUGCUACAUUUGCGAUGGAACAUGAAGAGAUUUGGGAGAAAAGUGUGUAAUACCAGGAUGUCUUUGGCUGAAUGUCAAGAUUUUGAUAGGAAUAGGCUAGCUAAACCUUUAAACUGCCAAAUGACACACAAACACUCUCCACCCAGGGAAAAAAAUGGGGUUUUUUCCCCCCUUAAAUUAGAAAUAGUAAUCUAGUGUUUUUAUAGUGUUUAAUACUUGUAGUGAUAAUUCAAUAUUAGCUGCUGGUACAUUUGGAAGAAACUGCAUGAAAGCCCAUUACAUUGUCCUUCAUUUUCAAAUGCUUUCAAGUGUCUUAUUUACACACCGAUUUUACUUGUGGCUUCUUUUAUUUCAAAACCUGUCAAUUCCCAUACAAGAUAUCACAGUCUUCGUACUUUAUCAAUAGUCACUUCCAAACACUGGGGACUGCAGUUGGCACCUGGGUGCCAUGGAGGGGAGACUUGUAAAUAUGGAGAUACAGAAAGCUAAGGAUGAGAGGGGAGGGAGGUCAAUUCCAACACAAUAUGCACUGUUGUGUUUUUUGAGUUACAACUUUGUCAUCAGGGCUGGGAAAACCCUUGUGUUAAACACUUUUUCCUGCUGCAGAUGCAGAGCUUGCCUGUCAGAGAGCAGGAACACUGGUGGGUUUGGCAGUCCCAUGAUAGCACCAGAAGCAACAGUGACACACAGGAGCUGGAGGUGUUCCCCUUCUGCCAACUUGCAGUAGAGCACCUGUAAUUUUCCUGGGCUAGUACCAAGCUUCUGAUUGACCACUCCUCAGUUUUGGUCAACUGUUCACGUUCAGAGGUUCUGGAAGGGUAUCCUGCCCUGAAGACUCAUGGUGCCUGCUCCUUUCCAGAAUGGGAAACUGAAGAUUUUCAUCUCCUCACUACCACCGAUAACUCCAGAUAAGCAUAUUGAAAUUGUGUAGAAGACUCCUGAGGGCAAAAGAAAGAAGAUGUAUCUGGUGGCAGAAUGAAGGGAUAACAUAACCUGACAGAGGCCCCUGCCAGCUGCCGUGGCUGUAAUGAAAUCUGAACGCACUCUUAAAAAUCCACAUUCCAUGGUGUCUUUCACCACCAUUGAUGUGAAGUUGGUGGUUUGUCAUCCUGGCCUUGGCUGAUCAUCUCCUCUCAUCCUCUUCAGCAAAAACCGUGAGUAGCUGCAUUCAAGUCAUCUGUCUCCCAGCGUAAACAUGAGUUUGUUGGGUUUGUGCUUAGUCACAGCACUUUGCUUCUUUUUAAUUGCUGAGCCCACUCACAGUGGCUGUCACAGUCUGUGUAAGCACAGAGUCCUCACUGCCACUCAUUAUACUUCUCCAUCACCUUUGUUGCCUUGCCUAAAUCCUCCCCAUUGCAUGGCUGGUUUAGGGUGCCUUGCAGAAAAAUUUAUUUUCUCUUUUUUUCCUUUCUAAUGCAAUGAGCCAUUAAUUUAUGAUGUCCCAAUCUCAUUUAAAUAUCUUUUUUUCUCUUCUUUUUGUACUCAUCGUUUAGAUGGUCUGGUACAUGUCUCACUCUGACUGAGCAAGAAAAAAUGCAUAAUAAAAAUACAUAAGGGAGGUGAUAACUCAAUCAAAAAUAAGAAAUUAUUAAUGCACAAUUUUAAGCUUAUUCUAGAAAUUUCUGUUAAGUAUGAAAGUAGUAGUCAAGUAUUCUAGUGGCCCCAUAAUGACAUCGUGGUUUAAUUUAUUCCACUGUGUAACAAGAAAUUUGAUUUGACUAAGAAAAUGCAGUAAAAUAUCCUGAGCCUGAUCUAGUUAUCACUGAAUAUGAUGCAGGGUUUUCCAGUGGUAAAAUGUAAGGGGAAUCAUCAUGAAUGACUGAAUCUGAUGCAAUAAGAAUUCAAAAAGAAGGUUUUGAAUGACAUCUCAGCUUCUAACUUCUGGAAUUUUCAGCAGCAUUUAGCAUUUCUUUUAAAGAAAUUUGGAUUUAACUGGAUAUAAGCAGCUGCAGAUAGCAUUACUUAUCUAAGAUGAUUCUUCUCUUUAUCUGAAAGGAGACACAGGAAAGAAAGGCAUAAUUCCAGAGCAAUGACUCCAUAAAUGGUUUAUUUAGAAACUGAAACUUGACUUUGUUUUCUAGCAGAAACCAAAUGUGUUAGUUUGAUUUGGAUACAGUAUAUUGACAAAGGGUGGGUUGUUUCUUUUUUUCAUCUAACCCUGGUUGCAGAGAUAGAGAAAAAAUAAUCUGUCCUGAGAGUAAACAAUGAUCCAAACUCUUUGUUUGCUUGAAAUGGCUGACCUUGCUGUGAAGAGGAAUCUGCAGAGAGGAUGGUGCCUCCAGAAGGAGUGACGGAAUCCUGGCAAGGCACUGGAUGCCUGUGCGAGCCCUGCCAAGGCUCCGUUCGGCCCUGACACAGAAGAUGUGCAGCGCUGGGGUGCCUGGGGAGGUCUGCUCUGCACAGCCUGGCCCGCAUCUCCUCCUGCUGCACUGCCUCUGAGGGGAACUGAUAUUGCCUCACCAGGGGGAGCAGGAAGGGGCACAAUGAGCCAAAUUCUGAUGAGCCAAAAUCCCACGAGCCAAAAUCCCACGAGCCAAAAUGCCAUGAGCCAAAAUUCAUGCCCCCUGUAGUGGCACAGGCGCAGGGGAAGCUCGCUGAUGGCCGCCCUGCCCGCAGGCCAGAGCUCUCGUGUCCGGCCCUCUUCUGACGAUGGAUGCUUCAUCUCCUUCUCUGGUUGGCGUGAGAAAGCUCUGAGGCUGUGACACAGAAAUCACCUUCUAGCUUGCUAUUAAAAAAGUUUGGCAAAUUGACUGCUGCUAAAAUAAGAGCUAUGAAAGUUCCAUCUGCAGUUCAGUCACACGGGGCAAAUCUCGCAGGCCUUACGCAGUCGGAACACCCAUGGAGCGCGCUCAGCAGGAGCUGACCCGCAGGAUAAUAGGGAUGCAUACUGAAUGAAUUGGAAGUAACACCUGGCCUUUGUCUGGAAAAUUACCAUUUUUUUAGGCCAGUCUUCAAAGCUGAACAUUUCUUUAGGACUCUGGAGCCAUUGAGGAGGCAGACAAAAGGAAGAGAGUCAUGGAGAGACAUGUAAAAGCUGUAGGCCCAGCAGAAAGGGCGAGAGGGUAUUCGAGAAGGCUGAGGGAACAGAAGUUAAAACCUCAGCAUAAAAUUCCAGUUCUUCCCAUGCGGAUCAGUUUUUCCAAGGGUGAAAGGAAAAUGAAUUUUCCAAUGCAUCUAAGUGAUUUCAUUACACAAUUGUGUGCUUGCCGAAACUUUAGCCACAUACUGUUACCCAUCCUUGCUAGUAAUCGGUGUUUGGUCUGUGCUUCACAACAUGUACUUAGUUUAAACAUAAAAUACAUUCAUGUCUGUGUGUGCAAAGAGACACUCACCAAACUCUGUGCCCUGCCUCUCAUUACAGAGAGAGGGAGUGCAUCUUUUCUGGGCAAAAUAAAUACUGUAGAGGAAUGAAUAAUGGUUUACCUUUAGGAACAGCCAACAUCUAUUUACUACAUAAAUCUAAUUGAGGGAAAAUGCCACUCUUCUACACUAGCAUCCAAGCUUCCAAACAAAUGCUCAACUCACUACAUUCCAAUGCAAAAGAAACCACUGCACAACCCAACUGGAGGGGUAUAUGCAGAAUACUGGGUAGUUACAUUCUCACAGAUAUCUCACUCUAGUCUGAGACUGAUCCAGCAUAACAUAAGUAUGUUGAAGCUGAUAGAACUACCCAAAUGCUUAAAAUUUCACACUUUCUCAAAUGUUUACUUUUCUGGAUCCAACUCUUGUGAAUAACUGUGCCUGAAGCUUCUUGGACUAUUUUUUGGGGAGGGGUGUGAUCAGGUCAUAAAAAUUAGAAUACCAUCCUUAUAGGGUCUUAGCAGUCACAAACUGCAAGCUGAUUAUCAGCCUAAUUGCAUGUCAUCCUCCCCUAAAUCAGAUUAGUCACAAAUGCUUAUCAACUGAGCCCUAAAAUCCUGAUAUAACUUGAAAACAUACAAGUUUUUCUGAAGGUUAUCUUGGAGACCCAAUAAAAAGAAACCAAACAUGGCAGCUUUGAAUAUAUCUGGUGACAGUGCUUAACAGCCAAGAGGAAUCAGGGAGAAUUGCUAUGUAAAGCUACAAUCUUUUCAAAAACAAGCCAGUUAGAUGACUUCCAGAUCUGGAAGCUGCUGUCAUUGCCAGCAGCCACCCUCAAUAUUUUUGCUUUGUUUUGUCUUUGCUAGCUCACAGCUUUGUGACAGCUAUUAGUAUUUUGAGUAAAUUAUGCAGCUUUGAUUUGCAAAGGCAUCUGCUGGUGGUACCAGGCCUGCCCAGCCUGAGCAGUUCUGUGCAGUCUGGUGUGAGCUGUAGAGGUUACAUCAGCCUCCAGGUUGGACCAUUAGUCUCAGAAAACCUCUUCAAGCAUUUCAUGCAUGACAGGAUGCUGCUGUCCCAGGAGAGCAAGCCUGUGCAUGGGUGUUAACCCAACUCUGUACAAUACUCUUUAGUUUGGUGCAAAGCAAGGAGCCAAAGCCAUCAUUUUUCAGCAUCCCAGUGACAUACUGGUAAAUCUGGCAGCUAUUUCAGGUUUUUACAACCAAUAUUGUAAUCACAGCAGCAUGUUACACCUUUGUAGAGAUACUUCUAGAGAAACAAAGUCUAUAGUAUGGACCUAAUAACAGGUUCUGUACACCUGUACAGUACACCUUGGUUGAGCAAAGAAUUUCUGGUUUACUUUUUUUUUCCUCUGCCUCUUCUACUACCAGAAUUGAUUUUCCCCCAUAUUGUCUCUAUGUCCAAAAUUAAAGGAGAAGAUCUAUUUCUUUUCUGAGCACCUGUUUCCUAUUUUGAAAUGUAGGGUAAUUGAUGGUGUAUUUUUACUUCUAGAACACAAAUAAGGUUCCUUAUAUCUGCAGAACAAUAUCAAAUGCCAGAAUGUGGUAUACUUAUUCUCUAGUUAUCCAGCUGAUUUUCUGUGUUUAUUAGAUGUUUAGUACUGUAUAUGGCAUUAUAAUCAAUGCACUAUUGACAAAAGAACUUGGAUCACACACUAUUUAUUUAAUUUACUACACUGACUCUAAUUUAGUAAAUUUAAUUCAUACAUUGUGUUUUCCUGGCACAUUCAGAUACAAUAUUCAAAAAGGGCACAUGGAUUGCUUAGCAAACCACUCUUAAGUUAUGUCAAGGGCCUUGUUUUUAGACUGUUGAUCAUUAGCCUAUUUACUAACAACCUUGCUUGCUGCACAUGUUGGGUGGUAACUUGUGAAGUUUGGCCAUAGUUCUGCAGUGUUUCUAAUGUCUACUGAAGUCAUAACACAAGAAGCAUUUUACUGUAAACUGAAGGUACCAUAAAUUCUAAAUCUCCAACAUUUUUAGAACCAAUUAUAUCAAAGCAAUCUGAUUGCUACUCUUUUGCACACAGGAUUCUCCCAAGCAGUCUCAUAUUACAGGCAUAAAACACUGAUAAGCAUUUUAGCUCCAGCAAACUAGCUGCAGCUGUGUCACAUUUGUGUUUCCUUAUUUUAUGUGUGCCAGUUAUCUAGAUUAAAGUUGGAAUAGCAUAGCACUCCACUAGAUGACAGGCUUGGUUUAAAGCCAGGCCACUUACUGAUGUUUAUCAAACAAUUUUCAGCUACAUACAGUAGCACAAUUCAAAAACCUGAGAAGACCCUAAAUUACUAGGCAUGCCAUGAGAGGUCAUUUUGGUUUUGGAUGGAAGAUUAAAACAUUCCCCUAACAAAUACAUGGAGUCUCCCUAGUCAGGGGCAUCAGUGAAAUAAUCUGAUUUCGUUUUUCCACCCAGUUUUGAAUGAAUGUGUGACCCUCAUGUUUCUGAACAAUCUCACCCACUCAUUUGAAACCAGAGAUGGAAAACAUGUCAAAUAAGUGGCCCAGGAACUUCAGAAAGUCCUGCUUUCAAUAGCUUAUUUUUCUGUUCUUUGUUCUUAUGAUCAUUUACUCUUUGUUUGCUUGGUUGUGGUUUCUAAGCUAUUAAUGACCAAUACAAUUCCAUGGGCUACCCUGUGCAUUAACUUACAGCCCUAUUGGAUACAAGUUCAUCCUGAUCUUCUCUUUACCUAAACCUGUACUUUAGACCAUCACAGGUACUUGCAGGAAGAGCAUGACUGCUGAUUCUGAUACAUCCUGAGAGAGGAUGCCUCCUGAGGGGCAGAGGGCAAGGUUUUCCUGGAUGCUGAUGACUGUUGGAACUGAUACCGUGACUGGCCUUCUGGGUAGGCUGUGAUAGGAAGGAAAACCUGGUUUGACUAUCCAAUGCUAACAUUACCUGCUCCAAGGAGCUUCUUUAAAGCUAGAUUACUUUCUGUGUUAGAAACCAAAUUGAAGCAAAUUAUGUGGAAAGUAGACUGGAACUACGUUCUGAACUUACAGGUUGGCCUGUUGCUGCUGUGGAAAAGAAAUCAAGAACUUUGUGCUGUACAGAGAAACAAAUCAACAGCCUGACUGCAUCAUUGCCAUCUCUGUCCCAGCUUGGGAUGCCUGUACUGACCCAAGUUGUGCUUAAAGAGGAUUCCUUGCACAUUGAAGAGUGAUGGUGAACUUGUGCUAACGUCAGAGAGAAAUGAGGCUCAUUGCCUGGUCCUUCUGAGGGAGAGGAGUGGCUGCUCAUUUGCUUUGCCAACACCAUGAUUUGAGCAAGAAAGCUCUGAGUUAGCAACUCCAUCACCUCUUCACUACUUUUGAUCAAAACACCUAUUAUGCAGUAGUUUAUAAUAAACAAGCUAUAAUUACAGCAAAACCAGCUAGCACUUGGCAAAGCUCCAUAAAUGGAUGGAGUUAAGAAAUUCCAGGUAACUUGAACAUCUGUAGCAAUGAUUUUACAAUAGAAAACUUUCUCUGAUAAAAGUAAACAAGCAAAAUACACCCUGAUGCUCAGAAAGGUUAAAGAGCUAAUGAUAUGAUCCUUGCAAAUUCUGGUUCAUCCAUUAUUCUCUUCUUAGUAAAACCAGUGAAACUUGUCCUUUAGGCUUAUGUUGUAUGCAUUUAUAUUUUGAUCUUGA